AAUACGACUCUCGGCAACGGAUAUCUCGGCUCUCGCAUCGAUGAAGAACGUAGCGAAAUGCGAUACUUGGUGUGAAUUGCAGAAUCCCGUGAACCAUCGAGUCUUUGAACGCAAGUUGCGCCCCAAGCCUAAGCGAUUAGGUCGAGGGCACGUCUGCCUGGGUGUCACAC
rnacentral:rRNA from 1 species